AGAGUUUGAUCCUGGCUCAGGACGAACGCUGGCGGCGUGCUUAACACAUGCAAGUCGAACGGAAAGGCCCCUUCGGGGGUACUCGAGUGGCGAACGGGUGAGUAACACGUGGGUGAUCUGCCCUGCACUUUGGGAUAAGCCUGGGAAACUGGGUCUAAUACCGAAUAGGACCGCAUGCUUCAUGGUGUGUGGUGGAAAGCUUUUGCGGUGUGGGAUGGGCCCGCGGCCUAUCAGCUUGUUGGUGGGGUAAUGGCCUACCAAGGCGACGACGGGUAGCCGGCCUGAGAGGGUGUCCGGCCACACUGGGACUGAGAUACGGCCCAGACUCCUACGGGAGGCAGCAGUGGGGAAUAUUGCACAAUGGGCGCAAGCCUGAUGCAGCGACGCCGCGUGGGGGAUGACGGCCUUCGGGUUGUAAACCUCUUUCAGUAUCGGCGAAGCUCCAGGAUUUUUCUUGGGGUGACGGUAGGUACAGAAGAAGCACCGGCCAACUACGUGCCAGCAGCCGCGGUAAUACGUAGGGUGCGAGCGUUGUCCGGAAUUACUGGGCGUAAAGAGCUCGUAGGUGGUUUGUCACGUUGUCUGUGAGAACUCACAGCUUAACUGUGGGCGUGCGGGCGAUACGGGCAGACUGGAGUACUGUAGGGGAGACUGGAAUUCCUGGUGUAGCGGUGGAAUGCGCAGAUAUCAGGAGGAACACCGGUGGCGAAGGCGGGUCUCCGGGCAGUAACUGACGCUGAGGAGCGAAAGCGUGGGGAGCGAACAGGAUUAGAUACCCUGGUAGUCCAA
rnacentral:rRNA from 1 species